rnacentral:misc_RNA from 1 species
GCAAACUUGGUCAUUUAGAGGAAGUAAAAGUCGUAACAAGGUUUCCGUAGGUGAACCUGCGGAAGGAUCAUUAACAAGUCCGCGUGACACGUGCGUGCCGGCUGCGCUGCGCCGUGGAGUAUUUCAUUCCACGCUGCGCAUGCGCGGCGGAACAUUUACUUUUGCCUGAUGUCGCAGCAGCGAAUAACAGCAACAACAACAACAACUUUUAACAAUGGAUCUCUAGGCUCUUGCAUCGAUGAAGAACGCAGC